rnacentral:lncRNA from 1 species
AUAAAUCAACUGUGUUACAAAAGUUUUGAAGUAAUAUUUAAAUUAACUUCAUGCAUAGUCACUAGUCCCUUUGAUGCUAGUAUCAAAUUUAUUGGACAUAGGCGUAGCAACAUCUACUUGAUUGAUCUUGAUGAGAUAGCCAUAAAAAAUGACUAAUGUCUUAUUGUUUAAGAUACUAAGAUCAAAGAAAUCAGCUAAAUGUGG